CGGCGGGCCCGCCUCGGCUUCUUUUUUGCCCGGUGUUCCUCGGCGUCUGACUGCGUUCAGUCCGGCACCAUGGGGAAGCGGGACAAUAGAGUGGCCUAUAUGAACCCAAUAGCCAUGGCCAGAUCAAGGGGUCCAAUCCAGUCUUCAGGGCCAACGAUCCAAGAUUAUCUGAAUCGACCAAGGCCUACCUGGGAAGAAGUGAAAGAACAACUAGAGAAGAAAAAGAAAGGCUCCAAGGCUUUGGCUGAAUUUGAAGAAAAAAUGAAUGAGAACUGGAAAAAAGAACUAGAAAAACACAGGGAGAAAUUAUUAAGCGGAAGUGAGAGCUCAUCCAAGAAAAGACAGAGAAAGAAAAAAGAAAAGAAGAAAUCUGGUAGGUAUUCAUCUUCUUCUUCAUCAAGCUCUGAUUCUUCCAGCAGUUCUUCAGAUUCUGAAGAUGAGGAUAAGAAACAAGGAAAAAGGAAAAAGAAAAAGAAGAAUCGUUCACAUAAAUCUUCUGAAAGCUCCUUGUCAGAAACUGAAUCAGACAGUAAGGAUAGUUUAAAAAAAAAAAAGAAGUCAAAGGAUGCAACUGAGAAAGAAAAGGACAUUAAAGGGCUCAGCAAAAAAAGAAAGAUGUAUCCUGAAGAUAAACCUUUAUCAUCUGAGUCCUUAUCAGAAUCAGAUUAUAUUGAGGAGGUACAACCAAAAAAGAAGAAAAGCAGUGAAGAACGAGAAAAAGCAACUGCAAGUAUCACUUACAUUUUUACAUGACAAGAAAUAGCUGUUUUUGUUGGGUCAUGGUAAAAGCAUGAUUUCAUUUACUGCAAAUAAAUAUCUUUUGAGAAAGGUGUGGUGUUCGGUUUCACUUAAAGGGUUGCAGCAGAAAGUUUAAGUGCUUUAGGAAAAAAGAAGAAGAUCCUGGUAGCAAACAUCUAUUUCCAUUUCUGUAUUUUACUCUUGGAAAUGAAAGCUCAAACUUUUGUUUGACUCUUUUAAGCUAUGAUAUGAAAGAUUAAAGUAUGGUGAUUCUAUCUUUGAUAGUAGUUAUUUCCAGAUCAGCCAAACCUGGUAAUAAGAGAAAGCCUCUCAAAGCACAAGUUGCAAUGAAAAAUAAGCAGGAAUGUGACAACAUAAAUGGUUACUAAUAAAGGUGAUUCUUUUGAUUGUUUCUAAAGCCGGCACUGCUUUAUGCAGAUUGAGAAGUAGGAAAGAAGGAAGCGGAGAAUAAGGAAAAUGAAAGAGCAAAGAAGAAAAAGAAGCAUAAGAAACACAGUAAGAAGAAGAAGAAGAAGGCUGCUAGUUCAAGUCCUGACUCGCCCUAACAUUGAAAAAUCAGGAUCCCCUUAUAAAGAAAGUGCAAUGUCUAAGGAAAUUACAACUGUGAAAACUAUGGCAUAGUUACUAAAAUGCAUGAAUUUUCUUGUUUUUAGAAUUAUUCCUGAACUAUUCAGUAGCCACUCAGAUGUUGCUGUGUUAAAGGGCCAUAAUUGUUGCCUGCUGCCUGAACAUCUGUUUUUUUUCUCUUCCAGUACUUAAUAACUCUGGGAGAUAAUAACAUUGCAGUCAUGCUAGUGGUUAAGAUAUUUGGGAAUAAAGUUAUUAUUUUUGACUAGAAGUAUCUAAUGUUAAAUCAACAGAAGUUGAAUCUGGAUACAUCUUCAGACAUGAUCAGAAAUGACCAGAUGACUCUUAACAUUUUUGAAGUGGGGAUUUCAUUGAUAUUUCAAAAUCCUUGUUCUGUAGAUAAGUGUAUUUUAAUUUUUUCCCCUUGUAUACUUUUAUAUACCAGGGGAAAGAGCUUUUGGGGUGGGGGGGUUUGCUAUCUCUUUAGCUAGCAGAAUAGCGUGCCUUUUAUCCUCAUACAUCCUAUGUUUGUGGACACUAUAGCCAUGCUUCAUGGAGAGGUCAGAGCUGGGUACAGCAGUCUUGCCCGUUAUGGGGCUUAGUGACAUCUUUGGACUCAGUUGUAAUGCUGCUUCGAGUGAAUCAGAGAAACAGCCCUUUGCAGCAUGAGAAAGAGAAAGCCCCCAAAGCUCUGGGAUUUACCUCCACUUCAGUUAUACUGAACGUUUUUUUAGCUUUAGAAUGUGUUCUAACAUUUUAAUUUUGACUACACUUUGGCUUUGGAGAGGAAUAAUUUCAAAUAGACACUGGUACUUUUUGAACUUGAUAGCUAAAGAUUCUAAAAUGCAUGUUUUAUACUGUUAAGUUUUAACCAGUCAGGAAAAACCUAUGUAACCAGUGAUAGUUACUUUAUUUUUUGUGUGAAUUUUGUUUAGGCUGUAAUGUUUAGCUUUUAUUAACUCCUUAUUCUUGUCAUCUUAAAUUCCUUACUGUGUUUAAUGGUAUACUUGCCAAGAUUUUUAGCAUGUAAAAAGCAGGUUUUUGUUUUUUGUUUUUUUUUUAAACAGCUUCAUAUUGAAGCUGAGAACCAUAAACAAGUUGAGUGGCAGGCCUGGUAUGCUGUGUCUUGUUACAUAAAGCUAUUUCCAGAAUCUUAGUAAAUAUAAUGUUUUAAAAGUUUGUCUUUGUAUAUUCAUAACAAAUUAUGACAAGUUAAAUAUGAGAAUUACAUUAUUGUUCUUCCUGUGUCAUAUUUUACUAAAAUUUUGUGCCUCAUUAUCUCCUGAAGAAUUGUUUACUAGGAAUGUUAAAUGGAGUUGAUAAAUCAUUUUCACUUUACAUUUUUAUAUAAUCAAGUAAUGAAAUAUAAUUUGAUGUACAAUUUUGCCUGUUACAGAGGGUGUGCUAAUUAUAGUGGUAUAUGCACAAAACAUUUUGGCAUGACAAGAGCCUGAAUAAAUAGCUAUUUUGCUUAAAAA